CUACGGGUUGCUGCAGUCAAGAAUCUUCCGCAAUGCACGAAAGUGUGACGGAGCGACACCGCGUGCCGGAUGAAGGCCUUCGGGUUGUAAACGGCUGUUCUGAGGGACGAACUAUGACGGUACCUCAGCAGAAAGUGGUUGCUAACUCUGUGCCAGCAGCAGCGGUAAUACAGAGACCACGAGGCGUUGACCGGAUUUAUUGGGCGUAAAGCGUGCGCAGGCGGUUUUGUAAGUCAUCUGUUAAAUCUUCAGGCUUAACCUGGAGGCUGCGGGUGAUACUGCAAGACUUGAGGAUGGGAGAGGUGAGUGGAAUGCCCGGUGUAGGGGUUAAAUCCGUUAAUAUCGGGUGGAACACCAAAAGCGAAAGCAGCUCACUGGAACACUCCUGACGCUGAUGCACGAAAGCAUGGGUAGCGAAUGGGAUUAGAUACCCGGGUAGUC
rnacentral:rRNA from 1 species